rnacentral:rRNA from 1 species
UACGGAGGGUGCAAGCGUUAUCCGGAUUCACUGGGUUUAAAGGGUGCGUAGGUGGAGUGGUAAGUCAGUGGUGAAAUCUCUGGGCUUAACCCAGAAAUUGCCAUUGAUACUGUAGGGCUUGAGUAUAGAUGCCGUUGGCGGAAUAUGACAUGUAGUGGUGAAAUACAUAGAGAUGUCAUAGAACACCGAUUGCGAAGGCAGCUAACGAAACUAUAACUGACACUGAGGCUCGAAAGUGUGGGGAUCAAACAGG